CUCCUUCAGAUUGAAGUGAGAUGCCACGAGGUCAAGCAGCUCCUUGGCCAAAAGCUUGGGCUGGAGGGAGAACAAAAUGGAAAAAGGGUGAGGACACAGUGAGAAGGCUGCCAUCUACAAGUCAGGAAGAGAGCCCUCAUAGAGCCCGACCAGGCUGGCACCCAGACCUCGAACUUGCAGCCUCCAGAACUUCACGUGAAGUCCAGUCUGGUGAAUGGUGACAGAGGUGGCGGAGGUGAGGAGCACAUUGGAUCAAGCCGGUUUUAUAAAACGAGGUACUUUGAACUUGGUUAAUGUGAGUCUUCCCCCGAGGAUGAACAAUCGAGUUUCUGCAAUGCAGAGCUAGGGGACUGACUUGACAUGCUGAAAAAUUCACCAGAAUAAUGGAUGUCACCUUAGGAGCCUUGUUGACACUGACUUUUGGCUUCUCCAUGGUGACACAUCCCUAUGAUUUAGCCUGUCACCGCAAUCCUUUUUUACAUUGGAACUUCUACAGUAAAAAACCAAAUUUUCUUGGGGACGCAUACACUGAACGCAGCUAAAAGGAUCUGAGCAAUAGCAGCAUCCCUCAAAUAAACUUUAUCAUCUCAGCCUAACUCUUUUCAAGGAUAGGAUCCGUUUGGAUGCAUAUCUUUGGUCAAAAAAUAAAAAAAGGUGGGCUUGCCUGGUGGCGUAGUGGUUGGGAAUCCGCCUGCCGAUUCAGGGGACACGGGUUCGAGCCCUGGUCUGGGAGGAUCCCACAUGCCGCAGAGCAGCUGGGCCCGUGAGCAACAACUACUGAGGCUGCGCUCUAGAGCCUGCGAGCCACAACUACUGAGCCCGUGUGCCACAACUACUGAAGCCCGCGUGCCUGGAGCCCAGGCUCUGCAACAAGAGAAGCCACUGCAAUGAGAAGCCCGUACACUGCAAUGAAGAGUGGCCCCCGCUCUCCACGACUAGAGAAAGCCCGCACACAGCAACGA